rnacentral:rRNA from 1 species
AAUUCCAAGCGGCCUCUCCCCCCUCUUCUUUGCUUCCCUCGGCCUCUCCACCUUUCCCCCCGCCCGCUCCCCAGUUCCCACCCCAACAUCCACCUCCCUCCCUCCAUCCCUCUCUAGCUUCUGCCGCGAACCCUAGGGAGGGUCCCCAACAACAUGGACGUCGAGUCCGAGGUCUCGGCGGACGCCGCCGCUGCGGCGACGAACGGGUUGGGUGGCGCGGGGGAGGCUGCCGCUGAGGACGCGGAGGCCGUUGUGGUGACGAACGGCCUGGCUGGCGGUGGGGAGGCCUCCGCCGAGCAGCGCAGCUUGGAGGCGUACGCCGCGCUGUACUCGGGUCGGACCCGCCUGGCGCGCCUCGUGUUCAUCGCGCAGAGAUGCGGGGUGGAGGCGAUCGAGCUCGCGGCGCUGCGGAUGGCGUACGACGAGGCCAAGGCGCGCGAGGACACGGCAUUCUACCGCGAGGCCGCCCUCAGGAUCAACGGCCGCCUCGGCCCUACCCACCUGCUCGACCAGGAUUGGGUCGACUCCGUCAAUCACCGCGCCGAGCAGCGCAAGGAGAAUCUCGAGACCGAACUCGAGGUCUANNAGACCUGCCUGCAUGGCGAGAGCAUCAGAAUAUGCUAUAAUGAUCUCGGUGACUUCUACUAUUCUCAUGGCCGCCUUACUGAAGCCUUCAAAAGCUAUAUCAAGACAGAAGAGUACUUCAGUGCUUCUGAGCAUGUAGUGCAGAUGUGUAUGAAGGCAAUACUGAUCAGCGUUGAAUUAGGUCACAAUGUUCGUGUUCUGAAUUUUGUAAGUAAAGCACAAGGAUGUCAAGAUCCACUGAGUCCUAUUGCCAUUGCUAAGCUGCAAGCAGUUGCAGGAUUAGCGCGUCUUGGUAGAAAGGAGUAUAAACUUGCCGCCCAAGAGUUUCUGGAGACAGGACCUGAACUAGGAAGCAACUAUUCUGAAGUCAUAGCGGCACAAGAUGUAGCUACAUAUGGAUCUCUUUGUGCACUUGCUUUCUUAAAUUACAGUGAUAUCAAGAUGAAAGUUAUUGAGAAUGCUAAAUUUGGAUCUUUUCUGAGCCUUUUCCCUGAAAUUAGGGGGUUGGUCAAUGAUUUUUACUACAGGCAGAGGGGGAUCCUCAUGUUAAUGGUACUGAGGCUGAGCUAAAUGCUAUGUAUGAUGCAGCACUUGUACAAUCAACUCAGUACAAUUUCGUGAAAUCAAAAUACUACUUCAGUCUCUUGGGGAGAAAAGCCCAAACUGGGUUUCUCGGUCUCAGGCAUGUGCUUUACUCUUAAAUGCUGAAAUGUUCGUCGCUGAUUCUUUUGAAACUGAGGCAAGGGCGAUAAGAUGGUUGGAUGGUCAAAUAAUAGUGAUAUCAAACACCAAGUUCAGUAUGUUGGAAGGGGAAUUCGGCAAUUACACGACCACAUGUAAGCCCUUAAAAGAGAAGAAGCUCAAGUGCAAGGAAGAUUCAACAAUUGAUCGGUUUGAAAUGCGAGGCGAUAUCUGGGCAAGGAGAAGGACAUGCCUGCGGGAUAACUCUGCCUUUCACUUGAUCCAGUGGAGGAGGACAGCGGGGCUUCGGCGAGUACAAGUGCAGCAGCCACGGGAAGCCUCAUCGCAGAAUGACAGCAACACGCUCCUUAAGGAACUGCAUGUCACGAUGAAGAGUCUCCUCGAAGAAUUGAAAGUCAACACCAAGGCAGCGACGGAGUCAAGCCAGCUUAUCGCCAAAUCUUGUCAAGAAGUUAUCGAGGCCUGCAAGAUCUCUGCGACCAGCACGGGGACCGGUAUAGUGAACUGAGGAACCGCAUGUAGAUGAGUAGCCGUGACUUUACAUGUAGAUGAGUAGCAGCUGUGUGGUUGCUAGGGAACAAGUUCUAUACAUUGUUGCUUCGGUUGUAGAGCAACACGUUGUAUACGUUGUCACUACAGGGGAUGAUGUAGUCGAUAACUCCGAAUUGUGCGCGGGCUCACUUGAUCUCGUUGCCGCAGCAUUCAAUUGAUUGUAGAUCUGGGAGAGAGCACUGAUAUAUACUGAUUCGUAUUGAAU